rnacentral:rRNA from 1 species
UACAGAGGUCUCGAGCGUUUGUUCGGAUUCAUUGGGCGUAAAGGGCGCGUAGGCGGCGCGGUAAGUCGGGUGUGAAAUCUUGGAGCUUAACUCCGAAACUGCAUUCGAUACUGCCGUGCUUGAGGACUGGAGAGGAGACUGGAAUUUACGGUGUAGCGGUGAAAUGCGUAGAUAUCGUAAGGAAGACCAGUGGCGAAGGCGGGUCUCUGGACAGUUCCUGACGCUGAGGCACGAAGGCCAGGGGAGCAAACGGG